ensembl:lncRNA
GUUACGAAUUAGCAAGGCAUACAAUAUGUUACGAAUUUGCAAAAUGUACAAUAUGUUAUGAGUUUGAAAAACCUACACUAUUUUACAAUUUUUUCAAGUAGCUAAUUAGCUAAAGUUGUCCUUGAUGAGAUUUGAACCAUUGGGUUGCUAGAAGUUUUUGUUUAGUUUUUACUAUGUUAUGUAUUCUCUAUGAGACCAGAGUGCUAAAGCAUGUGAUGGGGAGAUGAGAUCAGUGAGACUCAAUGGGAAGGCUAGUACUGUAGGUAGGUACUUAUUACACAACCUCAUGAAAGUAAUAGAACACCACCCAGACCUACAAUAUGCCUAAUUGAAAACACUGUAAACUUGUCAAUAUUGGCCAUCUUCUCCUCGUUAUUAGUUUUAGAUAUUAUCUAUGGCUCACUAUAUGUUUAUUUAUUAUAUGUCAUGAGGAAAGUGAUAGCACAAAUAAUGGAAUGGACUCAUGGAAUUGGCAUAUAUUUGUAUUAAUGUGUUGUAAGAAAAUUACAUUUUUUAGCUCUGUUUUUAAUAGUUUCACUUUCACAGUAGCAUUUGUCUGGGUGGUGUUCUGAUCCUACAGUAUAUAGUAGGUCUGGGUGGUGUUCUGACCGUACAGUAUAUUGUGGGUCUGGGUGGUGUUCUGAUACUACUGUAUUGUGUAGGUUUGGGUGGUGUUCUGAUCCUACAGUAUAUUGUAGGUCUGGGUGGUGUUCUGAUCCUACAGUAUAUUGUGGGUCUGGGUGGUGUUCUGAUCCUACAGUAUUGUGUAGGUUUGGGUGGUGUUCUGAUACUACAGUAUAUUGUGGGUCUGGGUGGUGUUCUGAUCCUACAGUAUAUUGUGGGUCUGGGUGGUGUUCUGAUCCUAC